UACGUAGGGUGCAAGCGUUGUCCGGAUUUAUUGGGUUUAAAGGGUGCGUAGGUGGCUUUUUAAGUCAUGGGUGAAAGCCCGCAGCUCAACUGUGGAAUUGCCUGUGAUACUGAGGAGCUUGAGUGCGGUUGAGGCAGCUGGAAUUGGUGGUGUAGCGGUGAAAUGCAUAGAUACCACCAGGAACACCGAUUGCGAAGGCAGAUGGCUAAGCCGUAACUGACGCUGAGGCACGAAAGCGUGGGGAGCAAACAGG
rnacentral:rRNA from 1 species